UACGUAGGUGACGAGCGUUAUCCGGAAUUAUUGGGCGUAAAGCGCCCGCAGGCGGCUGUUCAAGUCUGACGUGAAAUCGCUCGGCUUAACUGGGCGGGGUCGUUGGAAACUGAAUAGCUUGAGGCAAGGAGAGGGGCGUGGAAUUCCCGGUGUAGUGGUGGAAUGCGUAGAUAUUGGGAGGAACACCAGUGGCGAAGGCGGUUACCUGGAGCUUUGCUGACGCUGAUGCGCGAAAGCGUGGGGAGCGAUCCGG
rnacentral:rRNA from 1 species